GUGCCCACUUCGGCAGCCCACAUACUAAAAUUUAAACGAUACAGAGAAGAUUAGCAUGGCCCCUGUGCAAGGAUGACAAAAAUAAUGAUUAAAAACGAUUACAUACCU